CAAAGUAGAGCCAGAAAGCAAGGCCUUUUACCUACGCUAAAAACACUAUCUGUGCAAAUCAGAUUACUUUGA
rnacentral:tRNA from 1 species